rnacentral:rRNA from 1 species
CCAAUAGCGUAUAUUAAAGUUGUUGCAGUUAAAAAGCUCGUAGUUGAAUUUCAGGCCUGGCUGGACGGUCCGCCUUUUGGGUGAGUACUGUCUGUGGUCGGGUCCUACCUUCUGGCGAAGCGUCAUGGCCUUAACCGGCCGUGGCGGGGAACCAGGACUUUUACUGUGAAAAAAUUAGAGUGUUCAAAGCAGGCAGUCGCUUGAAUACAUUAGCAUGGAAUAAUGGAAUAGGACAAUGGUUCUAUUUGUUGGUUUCUAGGACCGUUGUAAUGAUUAAUAGGGACAGGUGGGGGCAUUAGUAUUCAAUUGUCAGAGGUGAAAUUCUUGGAUUUAUUGAAGACUAACUACUGCGAAAGCAUUUGCCAAGGAUGUUUUCAUUAAUCAAGAACGAAAGUUAGGGGAUCGAAGACGAUCAGAUACCGUCGUAGUCUUAACCAUAAACUAUGCCGACUAGGAAUCGGGCGAUGUUGACAAAAUGACGCGCUCGGCACCUCAUG